GGAUCCUGUCCGCCACCGCCUCCCACCAUUCUGAGUGUUCCCAGGAGCAGGGGGGCAGGAGGGCGUCUCAGGAGGGGCUUCCCGCGUCCCGUGCCCCGGACGACGCUGGGACAGGAGCUCCAGGACACGCUCUCCUGAGGACGGGACCGAGGAUGGCGUCCAUGUCCUUGGGCAUGAGCGCAGUUCCAUUCCCAGCUGGCCCCACUGUCUCUCCGUGCUCUCUCCCUUCGGGCGUGAGCCGCCGCGCCGGAGUUUCCGGGCUGAGUCCCAGGUCGAGCACUGCUAGGUGCUGGGUGCCCCUGCGGCCUGGGAAGGGCGCUGCCUACUGUUGUCCCAGACAGGGAUGCCCGUCCCCCUUCUCUCCAGGGACCUGCCCUGGACCUCCGUGUCCUCCCGUUCUCCCCAGGGCUGCUGGUCCCCAGGCCAGACACCUGCUGGUCUGAGGGGUAGGAGGACCUGCGCUGCCUCCAGAGGGUUUCCUGGGCCAGAAGCCUCCCCCGGGAGCUCCCGCAUCCCUGACGCAUGCUCCCCCCCCAUGCCUAUCUGCUGCCAUCCCCCACCCCCGACUUGCAUGCUUUUGGUCUGUGUUGUUGUGGGACCCGGUGACGUGGAGCCUGGUUGGGACCGGAGGCCGGGGAAAGCUUUCUCUGGCCUUGGGUGGUGAGCGAUGCGUUGGCCGUGUGUGGUGUGUCUUCCAGCUCUCUGCCUUGCCCUGGUGUGUGCGGGCCCAGGAGGAAGCAGCCAUGUGGUGUCUGGGGUCAGGCCGGGGUGUCCCCGCGGGAACAGGGGUCUCGGCCCCGACAUUGGGCCCCUAUCCACUCAAGGGGCCUCCUAGCGUGUGCCACACUUGCCACGCCGGGCUCUCCACCCAUGGCUCCCUCUCCUGCCCUCCGUGCAUCUCCUGUGCAGAGAACAUGGACGAAGAUGUGGACAGGACAGCGUGCUAGGACCCCAGCACCCCCGGCGGAUGGGGGCUACGAGGGUGGGGUCAUCCCCAGCUGUGCUCCCGUGAGCCAGGAAGCCGAGGGCACAACGCCUUCCUCGGCACAGGAAGAUUUCACGUGGCGGCCAUGGGUCCUCCAGGCUCUGAGCGGGAAAUGGAGCUGCCGGAUCCGUCCAGGGAUGGAAGCACCAGCCCGGCUCGCCAUCCCUGCGGGCACAAGGCUCCUCCUUCCUGGCUGCUGCCCGUUUUGGCGGGUUCUCCUUCUCGUGAGCAGGGAGGGCCAGGCCGUCAUGCCAUCUCAGGGACAGUUUUCCUGGGAGGUCCACCUUCCAACUGCCUAAGGGGGGAUCGAGCCCCAGAUCUGUGCACUAUCCAGAACUGGAAGAAGGAAAAUCCGUUCUUCAUUUCAGUCGUUGAGUUUCUUGAAUAAUCUCUUGUUUAUAUGUAAACCGUCCAGAAGUGACUUUGGUUGGUAAGACCACUCUGGGAAAAGAAUGGACCUUCCCGAAAACACUAAGGUGGCUCUCCUAUAUGAUCGCGAUACUGGGUAGACAUUUUCGGGAAAUGAAGUCAAUUUCUUGAAAUACAACCUGCACCCUCCCACCUGUUCUCCAGAGAAGGGCAGCCGCCCUUAGCAUGGGACACCUGCGUGGGAAGUCGUGGGCAACCCUUCUCUUGAGGCAGGUGCCUCCCUGGACAAGGGCCUGGCCCAGGGCUGGGAGGUCUCCGCAGCAGCACAUUCAAUGUUCUGGAUACUAGAAAGAGACUGAGUAAAGCAGCAGGCCAGUGAGGGGCAGGACACACAACUCCAAAUAUGGCACCUUAAUACAUGAAAUACAGAAGUUGAACGAACUUUUGCAGAGAGCACAGGCAGGAAGUUCCCAGUGAUCCCCAGCCAUCAGCCCGUCUAUCCGGAAGCAGGUCAGAAUGUCCCAUGAGGAUCUUUAAUCCCUGGACCACAGGGAGGAUAGUGCUGUCACCAGAGCCAAGGAAUAUAGGGCCCCCAAGGCUGUAUGCACAAACCUGCUGAAAUUCACCCUUAUCUCCUAGUUACUUCUGUGCCAUUUACCAGCCCUCAACUAAAGCCUAAUGUUUGUCCAUUC